GUGAAGCUGGCUUCCUGGUCCAGGGAGAAGCCGGGAAACUGGUACAGCACUUUCCGUCGAGGGAAGAAGUUCUCCUAUGUGGACGCCGACGGGUCCCCGGUGAACGUGGUGCAGUUGACCUUCCUGAAGCUGCUGAGCGCCCGCGCCCGCCAGAGCUUUGCCUACUCCUGCCAGAACGUGGCUGCCUGGCUGGAUGAAGCCGCCGGCGACCACGGCCGCUCCCUUCGCUUCCUGGGGACCAACGGACAGGAGCUGUCCUUCAACCAGACGGCAGCAGCCACCGUCACUGUCCCUUAUGACGGCUGCCGGCUCCGGGAGGGACAGGCCAAAACCCUCCUGGAGUUCAGCUCUUCCCGAGCGGGCUUUCUGCCCCUGUGGGACGUGGCGGCCACCGAUUUCGGCCAGACCAACCAGAAGUUUGGGUUUGAACUGGGGCCCGUCUGCUUCAGCGGCUGAGCGUCUUGGGGGUGGGCGGGGCCACGAGGGAGCCCCAGCUGGGGCACACUUGGUGCUGAGGCUUUGAAGCCACCAUAUUUAUCGUCUCCUGUGCCUGUGGACUCAGAGGGAAGUCUGCUCGUCAUGGCCAGACAAUGUCCCUUCUCCACUCCCCGGGGCUGCGGGCUGGACUCCCCUGGCCCAGGAGUCCAGCCUCCCCGCCCCCUCCUUUGCUGGAGUGAUGCAGUCUUUCUCCCCUCCCUGCCCAUUCCACCUGCAACUCCCACUCCGGAUCCCCCACGCAACGAACUUCUAAUUCAGAGCUGAGUGCCCCCACGCCUGUCUCCCUUCUCAGGCAGUGCCCCAACACCCUUUGGUGCUACCCUUUCCCCUAGUUAAGCACUGGACGUCUCCUGAUCCCAGGCUGGGCCCCUUCCCUCAUUCCUCUUCUCAGGUGGGUUCAGAGAGAAGGAACUGAAGUCCGACCACAGAGGGAAGUGAGACUUGCCUGGACUGAGCUGUGUAUUCCUUUGGCUGCCUCAGCCCAGCUCUGAAUACAGGCCCCCUCAUAUCUCACCAAGCCAGAGGGCUGGGGGACCAAGGUGCGGGGUCAAUCAGGAUCCUAAUGGUGCUGCCCUAUUUAUACCGGGAUCUGUAUUAAAAGGGAAAAUCCCCUCUGUUAUAUAUUUAAUCUGCUUCCUCCUCACAGAAGGCUGGGAUAUGAUGAGAGAGAUUCUAGCAUGACCCCCUCCCCCACCUCCCCAGGGCAUCAUUGGCUUCUCAAGUCUGAGAAUAAACCACUGAACUGUGUCCCUGUCUGUGUCCUUCCUCUGGUGCUGCCCGCAUCUUCCUUAGGGUCUGUCUGUGGUGUCACCUGAGGUAUUGCCAUCACCUGUCUUAAUCGUGUUGUUUAGUGGAGGUGGUUUGAGGGGGUGGGGGAACCCAAUUCUAAUGGGAUUCACUGGAGGUGGUGGGCCUGUUUAUUAACUCAGGAAAAGUUGAAAAUAGCUAGAUCUCUAAGAGAGUAGAUCUUAACUUUUCUCACCACAAAAAAAAUAAAGAAUAAUUAUGUGAUGUAA